GCUGAUGUAGCUCAGUUGGCUAGAGCAGCUGAUUUGUAAUCAGCAGGUCGUAGGUUCGACUCCUAUCAUCAGCUCCA
rnacentral:tRNA from 5 species